rnacentral:lncRNA from 10 species
ACACCAAGGGCCCUUCAAAACACAGAAGCUUCUUGCUCACGGCAGAAAGCCCAAUUCCAUCUGGCCCCUGCAGGUUGGCUCAGCACUGGGGAAUCAGAGUCCCCUCCAUGACCAAGGCACCACUCCACUGACAGCCUUUCUGGAGGUGAAUAAAGUCAGAAAGUGCAUUCAAAAGGCUGUGAACACCUCCAGCUUAUCUAGGUCUUCUUACUGGAGCUGACAGCCAAUGAGUGUAAUGAUACAAAAAAGGUAACAAUCCAUUUCUUUUUCUCCUGCCAUCCCCAACUCAGACUCUGUUAAUCAGCUUGCUUGGCUGGCCUCCAACCAUAGGUCCAGGGGCUGAGACAAGGUCCUUUUGAGCUCCUAUGUGGGAGGCUCUGGAAAGCUUAGCAACACUUUCCAACAACUUUGCCAGGGUCACAUCUCCCAGGAAGAUCUCACUUCCCCACAGAAGCUCUUGGCCUGGCCUCCUGCAGUGCCACGCUCCGUGUAUUUGACAAGCUGAGUUGGACACUCCAUGUGGUAGAGUGUCAGUUUGUCAAAUACCCCAAGUGCGGCACAUGCUUACCAGCUCUAGGCCAGGGCAGAUGGGAUAUGACGAAUGGACUGCCAGCUGGAUACAAGGAUGCUCACCAAGCACCAAGUUCUCACAAGUUAUUUUAUGUGACUUUGCAGGAACUGAGGCAUUAUAUCUGAGGACACCAGGGGAAAAGUGUGGCAUCUCAGGGAAAUACAGCCCUGGGCUGUGUCUACACACACCAUGAGAGUGCUGAUGGGGGCGCAAUAGUCUUGAAAAUGUAUAAAGUGUCCAGGAAUGGAAGUGCUCUUUGAUUCAUUAUUAUUUUCUUCCUUCAUAUUCCCCUCCCAGAGUCUCCUAUCUAGGACAUCAGCAUUCUCACACAAGCCUAAUGGCUUAUCUGAGUAAGCAGGGCUUAGAAAUUCACUUUCUUGAUACUCAGUCUUGCCUUCUAAACACUCCUUGAUCUUGCCUACCUCUCCCCUUUUCCACAUGUCUUUUCCUGUAGGAACACUUUCUCCAUUUAUUCCUGCCUAUCCAAUUCUUCCCUAUAUUUCCUGGACCAGCUAAAGUCCAGUGUUUCCAGAGACUUUUGAAAGUCAACUUACACUUUUUCCUUCUUCAUUCACAAAGCUCUUCUUCCCUGGGCCCUGGUAUGUAUGCCUUUCUCUCCUACUGUCUAAUAGCACCUCGUAAAUUGUCAAUGAACUUUUCUAAGGGGUAUUCUUGAAUUCCCAACUAGAUUGUGAGCUUCUGGAAGACAAGGCUAUGUCUUUGAUUGUUGUCUCCCCUACCACAGCCCAGUACUUUAGUUACAGAAAAUAAUAAAUAUUUACUGAUUGAUUGACUUUCCUCUUGUCCACUAGCUUUAGGUUUGGGGGCCAAAUUCUACCCUGGAUUUUGAAAAAUUCAAACUGUGAACACCACAAUGUUAUAGAGCAUAUGAGGUAGUAGCCAGCAUGAAGGAUGUUUUCUUCCUGAGAAACAGUGUCAAGGGCUGGAGGAAGAGGGCAAAAUAGCAGACUCAGAGGGCAAAUAAAUUUUGGUAUUACUUGGUCACACAAGGUUAUACAGGUGUUUUCUUGUAGGAUUUUUCAGAGCCUUUAAUAGUCUAAUGUUGCAUUGAGAAUCUCAAAGAGGAAACCAUAGAAUGAGGCAUUUGCCAUACCUAUCUGAUCAUGAAUUUUCUUUUCCCCCACAGCCUUCUCCUGUGUCAAUGUCCAAUGAAGCACGAUUUGGGAAACUGUCCUAGAGAAACUUUAUACCUUCCCGCUCUUCUGGAGAUCUUUUCCUCUUUUCAUUCAUCUACUUUCCCCAACCAGCCAUCUGCCUAAGAAAGGUCACAUGUUAUCAUCUCAUUUUUGUUUAGCCUCUGCAGCUGUGGACUAUCUUUAUUACAUAGGAAUUCUUUACUAGCUUGUCCUGUAUUUAAAAAUAUUCUAAGUUUUGAGGCAAAGAAGAUCCAGAUGCUGCAAUAAAUAUAUGCACUGAGGAGUUCACAGGCCUGACUUUUGGUCUCCUUUCUACCACUAACUGUGUUUUUGUUCCUCUCUGAGCUUCAUUUUCUCAUCUCCAAUACGGAAGUAUUAGAAUCAGUGAUCUCUAGGCUCUUUAAGAUUAAUGACUUUGAGAUAUCCCUGGGAGUCCUUAGCUCUUAUGGAGCAGCGUCCCUGGAUGUGUGGCUCCUUUUACCAGUGAAAAUGCAACCAGGAUUCUCUUCCCAACACCUAAAACUCACUUUUUCUAUGGGUAGUAGGGAAAGAUAAUGGGUAUUUUCAAAGGCUGUAGGGUCUGGACGCAGAGUUGUUUCAUGAAGGAAGUUGGGGUUUCCACUGGGUGGAGGCCCUAUUUCAGAGGCUUGUAAGCACGAUGGGGAAGAAAGAGUUGUUCCUUUCGCCAACUAGGAGAAGCUAGCGUCUGGAAUGAGGAAAAUGUUGAGGUUUUUACCCUGGAUUUGGCAUGUUGGGUGGCGGUGAAGUGGAGGACUCCUUUUUGUUACUUUCGUGUACUAUUUUGACUUCUGUAAUCAUUGCAAAAGGGGAGCAGCUCCUUGUGAAACAUGAGCUGACCUAGGGGCUGCAUGGGAACCAGAAAUAGCAACAUGGCAGCUUCCUUGAAGAGUGCAGAAGUUGAUUUGACAUUAAUUACAUCGAGAAAAUAAAACUGUGUCAACCUGGGUCAGAACAGGUCCUCACAGCGGAGCCUGAUUUAAAGGUGUAGGAACUUAUGUACACAUACAAACUCUCUCUCUCUCUCUCUGUCGUGCGCACACACACACACACACACACACACACACUCCUAGCCCUAUUCCUCCUUGAAGAGAAAGGCUUUCUUGCUCUUAUCCCCACCUCACAUUGUAAGAAGGGGCCAGGAGCUAAAGAAGAUAACAUAUGAAAAAUGCAACUACCCCCAGGAUUUUAAGAUUCAAAGAAGUGGAAAUCCUUGGGAGUGGUGCAUCCAUACUUGGGAAAGAAGGAAAUCCCUUCAUCUCUGCAUUCAUAGUCCCCUGAGACAGAAAGACUUUUUCUUUCUUAGGCUUCCAGUUGAUGUGGGAAGAAUCAUCCAGGUGGACCUGGCAGGAUGACAGGUUGGGUAAUGGAAGCCAGGGGAGUACUGUUUAAUCAAGUAUUCACUGUUCUCCAGCUGGGCUUACCAGUGGAGUGAAGUAGGAGUGGCAUGUGUGGGAAGGGGAAAGACCAAAAAAGCAAAAGUGACAUCCAUAUUCUCGGGCCCCAGCCAUCUUAACUAGUCUCACUUUAAUUACUUUUAGUAGGUCCUACCAUACUGUGAGAGAAGACCAACACAACUGAAGUUGCUGUUAUGAUUAGAUAUUUAUUGAGCACCAG